GAAGGUACAGCUCAGUGGUAGAGUGCGUACCUAGCAUGCAUGAGGUCCUGGGUUCAAUCCCCAGUACUUUCA
rnacentral:tRNA from 1 species